rnacentral:rRNA from 1 species
GUAGGAAUACCCGCUGAACUUAAGCAUU